rnacentral:tRNA from 1 species
GCACCUAUAGCUCAGGUGGAUAGAGCACAGGAUUCCUAAUCCUGGGGCCCCAGGUUCGAGUCCUGGUAGGCGCG